rnacentral:tRNA from 1 species
GCUGGGUUAACUCAGUUAGUAGAGCACGAGGCUCUUAAUCUCACGGUUGUGGGUUCGAGCCCCAUAUUGGGCA